rnacentral:rRNA from 1 species
UACGUAGGUGGCAAGCGUUGUCCGGAUUUACUGGGCGUAAAGGGCGCGUAGGCGGCCACUGCAAGUCGGUUGUGAAAUCUCCGGGCUUAACCCGGAAAGGUCAAUCGAUACUGCAGGGCUAGAGUGCAGAAGGGGCAACUGGAAUUCUCGGUGUAGCGGUGAAAUGCGUAGAUAUCGAGAGGAACACCUGCGGCGAAGGCGGGUUGCUGGGCUGACACUGACGCUGAAGCGCGAAAGCUAGGGGAGCGAACCGG